GUGCAGCACAUAGACUAAAACUGGAACGAUAUUGAGAAGAUUAGCAUGGCCCCUGCACAAGGAUGAGACACAAAUUCGUGAAGCUUAAUGCAGCAUG
rnacentral:snRNA from 1 species